rnacentral:rRNA from 1 species
UUACCAGCUUGANAUGAAAGAGAUUCCUUCGGGCACAGGUGCUGCACGGCUGUCGUCAGCUCGUGUCGUGAGAUGUUGGGUUAAGUCCCGCAACGAGCGCAACCCCGUCCUAGUUACUAACUCCGAGACUCUAGGAGACUGCCUUCGUAAGAGGAGGAAGGUGAGGACGACGUCAAGUCAUCAUGGCCCUUACGCUGGGCAACACACGUGCUACAAUGGAGGACAUGAGGCACCGCGAGGGGAGCAAUCUAUAAACUGUCUCAGUUCGGAUUGUAGUCUGCAACUCGACUACAUGAAGCUGGAAUCACUAGUAAUCGUAAUCAGCAUGUACGGUGAAUACGUUCCCGGGUCUUGUACUCACCGCCCGUCACACCAUGGGAGUUGAUUACCGAA